UACAAAAUUUCUUAGUACUUUACUUUCUUAUUAGCAUGCGUCGUAGAAUUUUGUUUAGUAACAAAACAUAUAUGUCACCCGUUUCAGACAGGCUCGUCACACAUGCUCCACGUAUGUGAGACAUACCUGUCUAGAAUCGUCCCCUUUAUAGAUAGCCUCGAAGUGGUCGAUAGAACGUGGUAUUUAUGACGGGCCUCAGGGUCCAAGAGACAUUUCGGAUGUCACCAUGUUGUUCUCCACUGCAUUAUAUACAACGUGCAGCUGGAGAACAACUCAAGUAGACAUUAUAUUCGUAUUAGCUCUACGUGCUAUAUAUGGAACAACUUAGGGCCCGUCAGAGGCGAUUUUUGGGUAAGAAUAUUGUUUGAUACUAAGGUUUUAUGAAUUGUUUGAUAAUAAUGUUAUUAUAGAUGUUGGACAUAGGCGCUAUCAUGUGGAAUCUGAGGCUCAGGAGCAUGCAGACUGAGUACUAGAAAAAAUGCGAAGGUGUGCAAGGAUGCGUUUUCCAAUGCUCGCCUAUAGGAUGUGAACCCGUACAUGAAGCGUCGAGGUCAUUCUAUAAACAACUUUCGACGGUAUUUAGAUGUCUACUUGAGUGUGGACCAAUACAUGGAGGGCUUUGUGUGAGGUAUGGGCUAAGCAAGAGUGGAUUGCAAAGUCAAACAGGAAUCGACACAGACAACCAUCAACAGGAUGAGGAUGAGGUCGUAGUCAACCAUACCUAUGGAGUUGAUAGACAUAUUUGAUUGGCGAAAAGAAUGGUUCACUCAAGUGCAAAUUGAAGAUGUCAAGUCCAAAUGAGCUCAAAGAAGGCCAAGGGGUGCAACAUUUUGAAAAAGGGU